rnacentral:rRNA from 1 species
UGAGGAAUAUUGGUCAAUGGGCGUAAGCCUGAACCAGCCAAGUCGCGUGAGGGAUGAAGGUUCUAUGGAUCGUAAACCUCUUUUAUAAGGGAAUAAAGUGCGGGACGUGUCCUGUUUUGUAUGUACCUUAUGAAUAAGGAUCGGCUAACUCCGUGCCAGCAGCCGCGGUAAUACGGAGGAUCCGAGCGUUAUCCGGAUUUAUUGGGUUUAAAGGGUGCGUAGGCGGCCUUUUAAGUCAGCGGUGAAAGUCUGUGGCUCAACCAUAGAAUUGCCGUUGAAACUGGGGGGCUUGAGUAUGUUUGAGGCAGGCGGAAUGCGUGGUGUAGCGGUGAAAUGCUUAGAUAUCACGCAGAACCCCGAUUGCGAAGGCAGCCUGCCAAGCCAUGACUGACGCUGAUGCACGAAAGCGUGGGGAUCAAACAGGAUUAGAUACCCUGGUAGUCCACGCAGUAAACGAUGAUCACUAGCUGUUUGCGAUACAGUGUAAGCGGCACAGCGAAAGCGUUAAGUGAUCCACCUGGGGAGUACGCCGGCAACGGUGAAACUCAAAGGAAUUGACGGGGGCCCGCACAAGCGGAGGAACAUGUGGUUUAAUUCGAUGAUACGCGAGGAACCUUACCCGGGUUUGAACGCAUUCGGACCGAGGUGGAAACACCUUUUCUAGCAAUAGCCGUUUGCGAGGUGCUGCAUGGUUGUCGUCAGCUCGUGCCGUGAGGUGUCGGCUUAAGUGCCAUAACGAGCGCAACCCUUGCCACUAGUUACUAACAGGUGAUGCUGAGGACUCUGGUGGGACUGCCAGCGUAAGCUGCGAGGAAGGCGGGGAUGACGUCAAAUCAGCACGGCCCUUACAUCCGGGGCGACACACGUGUUACAAUGGCGUGGACAAAGGGAGGCCACCUGGCGACAGGGAGCGAAUCCCCAAACCACGUCUCAGUUCGGAUCGGAGUCUGCAACCCGACUCCGUGAAGCUGGAUUCGCUAGUAAUCGCGCAUCAGCCAUGGCGCGGUGAAUACGUUCCC